rnacentral:rRNA from 1 species
GACAUAGGUGGCGAACGUUAUCCGGAUUUAUUGGGCGUAAAGGGCUCGUAGGCGGUUUGUCGCGUCGGGAGUGAAAACUCAGGGCUUAACCCUGAGCCUGCUUCCGAUACGGGCAGACUAGAGGUAUGCAGGGGAGAACGGAAUUCCUGGUGUAGCGGUGAAAUGCGCAGAUAUCAGGAGGAACACCGGUGGCGAAGGCGGUUCUCUGGGCAUUACCUGACGCUGAGGAGCGAAAGUGUGGGAGGCGAACAGG